rnacentral:rRNA from 1 species
GAUGAACGCUAGCGGGAGGCUUAAUACAUGCAAGUCGAGCGGCAAGGUCUUCGGACCCUAGAGCGGCGCACGGGUGAGUAACGCGUACGCAAUCUGCCCUUCAGUGAGGAAUAGCCCUGGGAAACUGGGAUUAAUACCUCAUAAUAUUGGAGUAUCGCAUGGUACUUCAAUUAAAGUUCUGGCGCUGAAGGAUGAGCGUGCGUCUGAUUAGCUAGUUGGUAGGGUAACGGCCUACCAAGGCGACGAUCAGUAGGGGGCGUGAGAGCGUGACCCCCCCACACGGGUACUGAGACACGGACCCGACUCCUACGGGAGGCAGCAGUAAGGAAUAUUGGGCAAUGGAGGCAACUCUGACCCAGCCAUCCCGCGUGAAGGAUUAAGGCCCUAUGGGUUGUAAACUGCUUUUGUCGGGGAAUAAACCUGCCCACGUGUGGGCAGCUGAAGGUACCAUUAGAAUAAGCACCGGCUAACUCCGUGCCAGCAGCCGCGGUAAU